GAUGAACGCUGGCGGCGUGCUUAACACAUGCAAGUCGAACGGAAAGGCUCCUGCUUGCAGGGGUACUUGAGUGGCGAACGGGUGAGUAACACGUGGGUGAUCUGCCCUGCACUUCGGGAUAAGCCUGGGAAACUGGGUCUAAUACCGGAUAGGACGAUGGUUUGGAUGCCAUUGUGGAAAGUUUUUUCGGUGUGGGAUGAGCUCGCGGCCUAUCAGCUUGUUGGUGGGGUAAUGGCCUACCAAGGCGUCGACGGGUAGCCGGCCUGAGAGGGUGUACGGCCACAUUGGGACUGAGAUACGGCCCAGACUCCUACGGGAGGCAGCAGUGGGGAAUAUUGCACAAUGGGCGCAAGCCUGAUGCAGCGACGCCGCGUGGGGGAUGACGGCCUUCGGGUUGUAAACUCCUUUCGCUAGGGACGAAGCGCAAGUGACGGUACCUGGAGAAGAAGCACCGGCUAACUACGUG
rnacentral:rRNA from 1 species